rnacentral:rRNA from 1 species
UACGUAGGGGGCAAGCGUUGUCCGGAAUCACUGGGCGUAAAGGGCGUGUAGGCGGUCAAGUUAGUGGGAUGUGAAAUGCCUCGGCUCACCCGAGGACCUGCAUCCCAAACUGCUUGGCUUGAGUCCGGAAGAGGAGAAUGGAAUUCCUGGUGUAGCGGUGAAAUGCGCAGAUAUCAGGAAGAACACCCGUGGCGAAGGCGGUUCUCUGGGACGGUACUGACGCUGAGACGCGAAAGCGUGGGGAGCGAACAGG